UUGUUUUUCAGAGCGGACCUGGGUACC
rnacentral:misc_RNA from 1 species